AGCGAACGCUGGCGGCAGGCCUAACACAUGCAAGUCGAACGAACUCUUCGGAGUUAGUGGCGGACGGGUGAGUAACACGUGGGAACGUGCCUUUAGGUUCGGAAUAACUCAGGGAAACUUGAGCUAAUACCGGAUGUGCCCUUCGGGGGAAAGAUUUAUCGCCUUUAGAGCGGCCCGCGUCUGAUUAGCUAGUUGGUGAGGUAAAGGCUCACCAAGGCGACGAUCAGUAGCUGGUCCGAGAGGAUGAUCAGCCACAUUGGGACUGAGACACGGCCCAAACUCCUACGGGAGGCAGCAGUGGGGAAUCUUGCGCAAUGGGCGAAAGCCUGACGCAGCCAUGCCGCGUGAAUGAUGAAGGUCUUAGGAUUGUAAAAUUCUUUCACCGGGGACGAUAAUGACGGUACCCGGAGAAGAAGCCCCGGCUAACUUCGUG
rnacentral:rRNA from 1 species